rnacentral:lncRNA from 1 species
UCCAAAGACACUGAGACCAGUAGUAGUAAAGUGAGAAAAUAGAUUAAAAAAAAAUAUAAAAGUUUCAAGUGAAACCCAGAUUGCACUGGAUCCUUUGAUCUAAUUAAAAACCUUUCAGCCUGGUUUGUUGGUUUGGCUUUUCCAUGCUUUUCCACCAGAAUGCAGCAGUUCUGGGAAGCCUGCGGUCGGGUCCGAUGUGGCAAAUGAUAUGGAGCUAGCUAAUGUGGUUCCUGGAAGAAGCAAUGACUGAACGUGCAGCUCCUGCUGAGAUACACCUCACACCACUCAGCAUGCUUGCUAAAGAUCUCCACCUAAAAGCCUUUCCCCAACCCUGAAAUGAAGCUGUCACCCAUGUUUAUUUUUGAAAUUGAUGAGAAGAUGGAUCACCCUAUUGCAUUUGAUGGAGACCUUAGGUUUUAUUUGUGAACAUUUUCUCAUUGAUAAAUUAGAUGUUGAUAAUUUAAAAAAUACUAAAAAAAAAAUCAUAACCAUCUCAUCCCAACAAAACUGCUAUCAUGUUUCUUAUCAUACCUGUUAAUGUUUUACAUAGUGGCAAUCAUAGUAUCAUUUUUAGCUCUGCUUUUUAGUUUAGUAAUGCUUCACGACAUUUUCCCCAUUGCUAUAUGUUUUUCUUACCUAUUUUUCUCAGUGACUACAUGUUAAUUUACUGUUUGAUGUACCUACACAGUCCUCUUGUUGGCCAUUCAGAUUCUCCCGCUUUCUCUUUUCUCUUUUCAUUCACAGAGCUUUUUGCUUUUAC